rnacentral:lncRNA from 1 species
GAUUUUUAACAGUUUUUGCAUUAAUGGUUGAGAACGGAAGCUAAACACAUCAAAAAGGAACAUCGAAGCAAAACACGUAAAAAAAAAAAUUAUAAAAAAACCAUACCAAAAUAUAACAAAAGAAGCUAAAUACAUGUAAAAAAGAAAAACAAAAAAACAAAAAAAAACAACAAAAACUACUUAUGUAUCAAACAUAUAAAACUCGAACUUCAACUUUAUUUCAGUCAUUUGUGGGGAAAUUAAAACUGAAAAAACUCAGACCAUGUCAAGUGGAGAUCGUACGCUUUUACCUUUCCAAGCACCAUGUUCUAUUUUAAUUGUGGGACCG